rnacentral:rRNA from 1 species
UAAGGAAUAUUGGUCAAUGGACGCAAGCCUGAACCAGCCAUGCCGCGUGGAGGAUGAAGGUCCUCUGGAUUGUAAACUUCUUUUAUCUGGGAAGAAAUCCAUUUUUUCUAAGAUGGUUGACGGUACCAGACGAAUAAGCACCGGCUAACUCCGUGCCAGCAGCCGCGGUAAUACGGAGGGUGCAAGCGUUAUCCGGAUUCACUGGGUUUAAAGGUGCGUAGGUGGGCAGUUAAGUCAGUGGUGAAAUCUCCGGGCUUAACCCGGAAACUGCCAUUGAUACUAUCUGUCUUGAAUGCCGUGGAGGUAAGCGGAAUAUGUCAUGUAGCGGUGAAAUGCUUAGAUAUGACAUAGAACACCAAUUGCGAAGGCAGCUUACUACACGAAUAUUGACACUGAGGCACGAAAGCGUGGGGAUCGAAACAGGAUUAGAUACCCUGGUAGUCCACGCCCUAAACGAUGGAUACUCGACAUACGCGAUACACAGU